rnacentral:tRNA from 1 species
GCAGGGGUAGCCAAGCCUGGUCAACGGCGCAGGCUUCAGGAGCCUGUCCCGGAGGGGUUCAGGAGUUCGAAUCUCCUCCCCUGCA